rnacentral:rRNA from 1 species
UGCCAGCAGCCGCGGUAAUACGUAGGGUGCAUGCGUUGUCCGGAAUUAUUGGGCGUAAAGAGCUCGUAGGUCGUUUGUUAGGUCGGAAGUGAAAACCUGAGGCUCAACCUCAGGCCUGCAUUCGAUACGGGCAAACUAGAGUUUGGUAGGGGAGACUGGAAUUCCUGGUGUAGCGGUGGAAUGCGCAGAUAUCAAGAGGAACACCAAUGGCGAAGGCUGGUCUCUGGGCCAAUACUGACACUGAGGAGCGAAAGUCUGGGGAGCGAACAGGAUUAGAUGCCCUGGUAGUCCAUACCGUAAACGGUGGGCACUAGUUGUGGGAACCUUCCACGGUUUCUGCGACGCACCUAACGCAUUAAGUGCCCCGCCUGGGGAGUACGAUCGCAAGAUUAAAACUC